CGCCCGGACAGGGGCUAGAACCCUGGACCGAUAGGUUAAAAGCCUAACGCUCUACCGACAGAAAUAUAUUUAUUUACGGGGC